UACGGAGGAUCCGAGCGUUAUCCGGAUUUAUUGGGUUUAAAGGGUGCGUAGGCGGCCUGUUAAGUCAGGGGUGAAAGACGGUAGCUCAACUAUCGCAGUGCCCUUGAUACUGAUGGGCUUGAAUGAACUAGAGGUAGGCGGAAUGUGACAAGUAGCGGUGAAAUGCAUAGAUAUGUCGCAGAACACCAAUUGCGAAGGCAGCUUACUAAGGUAUGAUUGACGCUGAGGCACGAAAGCGUGGGGAUCAAACAGG
rnacentral:rRNA from 1 species